CACUCCUACGGGAGGCAGCAGUGGGGAAUAUUGCACAAUGGGCGCAAGCCUGAUGCAGCCAUGCCGCGUGUAUGAAGAAGGCCUUCGGGUUGUAAAGUACUUUCAGCGGGGAGGAAGGCGAUAAGGUUAAUAACCUUGUCGAUUGACGUUACCCGCAGAAGAAGCACCGGCUAACUCCGUGCCAGCAGCCGCGGUAAUACGGAGGGUGCAAGCGUUAAUCGGAAUUACUGGGCGUAAAGCGCACGCAGGCGGUCUGUCAAGUCGGAUGUGAAAUCCCCGGGCUCAACCUGGGAACUGCAUUCGAAACUGGCAGGCUAGAGUCUUGUAGAGGGGGGUAGAAUUCCAGGUGUAGCGGUGAAAUGCGUAGAGAUCUGGAGGAAUACCGGUGGCGAAGGCGGCCCCCUGGACAAAGACUGACGCUCAGGUGCGAAAGCGUGGGGAGCAAACAGGAUUAGAAACCCGAGUAGUCCCAUGA
rnacentral:rRNA from 1 species